CUACGUGCCAGCAGCCGCGGUAAUACGGAAGGUUCGGGCGUUAUCCGGAUUUAUUGGGUUUAAAGGGAGCGUAGGCCGGAGAUUAAGUGUGUUGUGAAAUGUAGACGCUCAACGUCUGACUUGCAGCGCAUACUGGUUUCCUUGAGUACGCACAACGUUGGCGGAAUUCGUCGUGUAGCGGUGAAAUGCUUAGAUAUGACGAAGAACUCCGAUUGCGAAGGCAGCUGACGGGAGCGCAACUGACGCUGAAGCUCGAAGGUGCGGGUAUCGAACAGGAUUAGAUACCCUGGUAGUCCGCACAGUAAACGAUGGAUGCCCGCUGUUGGUACCUAGUAUCAGCGGCUAAGCGAAAGCAUUAAGCAUCCCACCUGGGGAGUACGCCGGCAACGGUGAAACUCAAAGGAAUUGACGGGGGCCCGCACAAGCGGAGGAACAUGUGGUUUAAUUCGAUGAUACGCGAGGAACCUUACCCGGGCUUGAA
rnacentral:rRNA from 1 species